AACGAACGCUGGCGGCAUGCCUAACACAUGCAAGUCGAACGAGACCUUCGGGUCUAGUGGCGCACGGGGGCGUAACGCGGGGGAACCUGCCCUUAGGUUCGGAAUAACUCCCCGAAAGGGGUGCUAAUACCGGAUAAUGUCUUCGGACCAAAGAUUUAUCGCCUUUGGAUGGGCCCGCGUUGGAUUAGCUAGUUGGUAGGGUAAAAGCCUACCAAGGCGACGAUCCAUAGCUGGUCUGAGAGGAUGAUCAGCCACACUGGGACUGAGACACGGCCCAGACUCCUACGGGAGGCAGCAGUGGGGAAUAUUGGACAAUGGGCGAAAGCCUGAUCCAGCAAUGCCGCGUGAGUGAUGAAGGCCUUAGGGUUGUAAAGCUCUUUUACCCGGGAUGAUAAUGACAGUACCGGGAGAAUAAGCUCCGGCUAACUCCGUG
rnacentral:rRNA from 1 species